rnacentral:rRNA from 1 species
CCUACGGGCGGCAGCAGUGAGGAAUAUUGGUCAAUGGGCGCGAGCCUGAACCAGCCAAGUAGCGUGAAGGAUGACUGCCCUACGGGUUGUAAACUUCUUUUAUAAAGGAAUAAAGUGAGGCACGUGUGCCUUUUUGUAUGUACUUUAUGAAUAAGGAUCGGCUAACUCCGUGCCAGCAGCCGCGGUAAUACGGAGGAUCCGAGCGUUAUCCGGAUUUAUUGGGUUUAAAGGGAGCGUAGAUGGGUUGUUAAGUCAGUUGUGAAAGUUUGCGGCUCAACCGUAAAAUUGCAAUUGAUACUGGCAGGCUUGAGUCUAGUUGAGGUAGGCGGAAUUCGAGGUGUAGCGGUGAAAUGCUUAGAGAUCACGAAGAACUCCGAUUGCGAAGGCAGCUUACUAAACUGCCACUGACAUUGAGGCUCGAAAGUGUGGGUAUCAAACAGGAUUAGAUACCCGAGUAGUC